CUAAUUAAGCUGACUGGCCCCAUUUCAGUCAAGAGCCAGUGAUUGUAGAAAGCAGCCCUUUUUGGUUGUGUAUAUGCCUUGUUCUUUAUAUGGGACCGUAUAUAAGGGACCUUGGGCAUACUU
rnacentral:snoRNA from 1 species